rnacentral:rRNA from 1 species
UACGGAGGGAGCUAGCGUUGUUCGGAAUUACUGGGCGUAAAGCGCACGUAGGCGGCUUUGUAAGUUAGAGGUGAAAGCCCGGGGCUCAACUCCGGAAUUGCCUUUAAAACUGCAUCGCUAGAAUUGUGGAGAGGUAAGUGGAAUUCCGAGUGUAGAGGUGAAAUUCGUAGAUAUUCGGAAGAACACCAGUGGCGAAGGCGACUUACUGGACACAUAUUGACGCUGAGGUGCGAAAGCGUGGGGAUCAAACAGG